rnacentral:rRNA from 1 species
AUACGUAGGGUGCGAGCGUUAAUCGGAAUUACUGGGCGUAAAGCGUGCGCAGGCGGCUUUGCAAGACAGGCGUGAAAUCCCCGGGCUUAACCUGGGAACUGCGCUUGUGACUACAAGGCUAGAGUGUAGCAGAGGGGGGUAGAAUUCCACGUGUAGCAGUGAAAUGCGUAGAGAUGUGGAGGAAUACCGAUGGCGAAGGCAGCCCCCUGGGCUAACACUGACGCUGAGGUGCGAGAGCGUGGGUAGCAAACAGGAUUAGAUACCCUGGUAGUCCACGCCGUAAACGAUGUCAACUAGACGUUGGGGGGAUUAAACCCUUUAGUGUCGGAGCUAACGCGAUAAGUUGACCGCCUGGGGAGUACGGCCGCAAGGUUAAAACUCAAAGGAAUUGACGGGG